ACCAAAUAUCGGCAAAGUUCUCCGAAAGGAAAUGACGCAAAGCCAUGGAUCUACAGUCUCAAAUCUUGGGGCCAGGAUAGCCAGGUUGCAGCC
rnacentral:ncRNA from 1 species